GCCCUAGUAACGGCGAGUGAAGAGGCAAAAGCUCAAGUUUGGAAGCUCAAUGGUUUAACCAUUGCGCAUUGUAAACUGAAAACAGGAUCAAUCAGGUACACCGGGUGAUAAGUUCCUUGGAAUAGGACAUCAUGGAGGGUGAGAAUCCCGUCUUUGACCCGAGUCUAGUAUCUUUUGUAUUGGCCUGUUCAAGAGUCAGGUUGUUUGGGAAUGCAGCCUAAAGCUGGAGGUAAAUCCCUCCUGAAGCUAAAUAAUGGCGAGAGACCGAUAGCGAACAAGUACCGUGAGGGAAAGAUGAAAAGAACUCUGAAGAGAGAGUUAAACAGUACGUGAAAUUGCUUAAAGGGAAGCAUAUAAAGCUAGGAUGCGAUUGUUUUCUUCAGGUUGAGCUUUGGCUUGACUGUUCAGAAGGAUAAUCCGAGACAACAAGAAUUGGAAGAGAAGAAUAAGCCAUUGGGGAAGGUAAUCCUUCGGGAUGUUUAUAGACCUGAUGGUUCGCGCUUUUCUUUCGAUUGAGGUACGCUUUUUUAAAGGUUGUUGUCUGAAUGGCUUUAUAU
rnacentral:rRNA from 1 species